CUGGUCUCGAACUCCUGACCUUGUGAUCCCAAAGUGCUGGGAUUACAGACGUGAGCCACUGCGCCUGGCUCCUUUUGUAUAUUUUGGUAUGCAUGGAGAGGUGUUUAUUGCCUGAACAUGGAGCCCAAAUUACCUGCCCCCACCCCCCACACUGGUCAGCACUGGAGCUCUGGUGCCAAGCUGACCUCUGGGAUCAUUUUGUGGAUUCUCAAGGGCUGUGAGGGGAAAACAUUUCAAAUUAGGCAGGAUGCCCAGUAACUAGGAGCACUUGGAAUCUCCAGCCUCACAAACACAACCACGUCUAAAUGAGAUUCAAAGAGAGGAAAAAUUACCCUCCAUGAAUAUCCCUUGAAAUUGCCCAGCAGAGAAUACUCUGGAGCGGCACGUGGAUGCAUCCCGAGUUCUUUGGAAGGAGGAUGUGAAGAGUGCCCAGGCUGGCACCCCCUGGAUAGUAUAGCACAGGCAGUGUGGAGCCUGAUGAAGCACAGGCAGGCGCGAUGUGGACAGCAGCACGGACGUCCGGCCGCCCAAGUGUCCCCUCGCCUUUCAACCGCAAAUCCCACUGUCAAUGCUGCAGACAGACACGGUUCACUCCAUAAGAUCACCCGUGAAAUGGGAGCGCCUGACCACAUGCCUGGAAAUGUGAAAGGAUAAUUCUCACCACUGUGAGCGGCUCCUAGCACUGUUCAUGGGAACCAUUUGCCUGUAAACACAGACGUUAGAACACAUCCUUCUUGGCAUAUGGCAGGGUAUCAAUCAGCAAAUCAGUCAAAAUACAGAAUUCUAAGGAUAAAUGAAUAAGAUCAUGGAGGCUUGCUGUAUUCAUCUUUUGGGGCUGACAAAAUGCCAUCACCUGGGGCAGGAUGUGUUAAACAACAUGUUUAUUCUCUCAUUAUCUGGAGGCUGGAAGUCCAAGAUCAAGGUGCCAAUAGGUUGGUUUCCCCUGAGGCCUCUCCUCCUGGCUUGCAGACAGCAAAGGUGCUGUGUCCUCGCCUGGCCUUACCCUCUGUGCAUGCAUCCCUGGUGCCACUCCCUCUUAUUAUAAGGAUGCCAGUCCCAUUGCAUUAGGGCCCCACCCUUAGGACCUCAUUUAACCUCUGUUACCUUCUUAAAGGGCCCAAUUCCAAAUAUAGUCACAAUGGGGGUCAGGGUUUAGAGCUAUGAACCAGGAGGGGCACAGUUCAGCCCCUGACAAGCACCAACAUGCUGUCCUUCCUGGCUUGAGUGUUGGUUAAAGCUCCUGCUUGGCUUUGGCCCAUAGAAUCUCACAGAUCCCAGAAUAGAAGCUCGCCCAUCACUGCUCUGAAGCAGGGAGCCUGGGACCGAAGGCCCUGGGGUGAGAGCCUCCCCCGCGCCAGCCAUGCUGCUGGGGGUUUCUGCACCUCAUCUUUGAUCCUUGUCACACCUGCAAGACCAGGGGUAACAGUCCCAUUUGCAGAGGGUGGAACUGAAUUUCUAGGAGGUGAAGCCACUUGCCCAAGGCCACUGGGCUCAUGUGUCUGGGCCCUGGAGAUGGAGCCGGGCCAUAGACCUUCCUGGCCUUGUCCAGGGUGAGAGACAAACGCGUGACGUGCCCAUGCACCCUGUGGAUAGCAUUAAAUGGCCACGCUGAUGGGCACGGGGUGCAUCUCAGAAGCGUUUUGUGAACCAUCCUGUCUCCAAUUUGCACUUUUUGUGUACUUUUAGAAGGCAGCUUGUAAACUGCUUCCAAUGAAAGUAAAAGAAAACAAACUUCCAGCCAUCUCUUACACCUGCGUUUCAUGAAUGUCUGCUGACCUCAGCAGGAGCAAGAGUUUCUCAAGUGGGAGUGAGUUGGUCUUAGGGGAUGAGUGUGCACAGCAGGCUCUUGUGAGGCUGUUUCCAUCAUCUGCAGGAGACGGGCACAGAGGCAGCAGACAGGUACAGGCAGGAGACAGGCACAGGCAGGAGACGGG
rnacentral:lncRNA from 1 species